rnacentral:tRNA from 1 species
AGGGCAGUAGCUCAGUUGGUAGAGCAGCGGUCUCCAAAACCGCAGGUCGGGGGUUCGAGUCCCUCCUGCCCUGC